rnacentral:tRNA from 1 species
AGUAGAAUGGCUGAUUUUAGGUAAAAGAUUGUAAAUCUUUUUAGGGGUUAAAUACUCUUCUACUA